ensembl:lncRNA
CCACACAACUUUAGAUAAUAGAAAAAUUUAGUAAAAGGUCUCUAGUUGUUUCUGUCAUGUUAUUUUCAUGUUGCAUCUUUCUACAGGACUAUGUAGAAAGACUUGCAGACUUCUAGGAAGAGUUUGAUGUCAUUAUUUCCCUUUCUUUUUGUCUCUGACUGGCUCCUUUGUGUCUGUUACCUUGAUCCAAACAAGCCAAAUUAAAUACUUGACAUCUUGACAUUAGCUUUUCUCCCCUUCAGUUACUGUUAAUCCCUUUAUACUUCAAAAUUAAGUUUAUUUACUGAAUGUAAAUUUACUUUAGUUACUUUCUUGACAUAGAAAGUGGUGUAGUUCCACGCACAGAGACUUCAAAAGAAGGAGGCUUUAAAUGUAAACAUAACAGCUUGUUUGAAAAAAAGACCAACUGUAUGCAAUGGAUAGAGAAUACCAUUUCCUAAAAAUGCCACAGUAACAAUAAACUACCCAAACUAUAAAAUAUUUAUUUAACUUAGGAUAGCAUGGAUAACUGCUAGACAAAACUAAGAAAUCUACAGGUUUUGUACAUAAAAGGUUUUCAAAGGAUAUCAGUAAUUUAUGUCUUCAUGUGUUAUAAGAUAGGGUGGCAAACAGAGCUGAGUUAGAAAAUGGGAAAUUCAUGAUAAUGGAAAUAAAUGCUGAAGAAAUUAGAGUCCAUGGCUACCAAAAACAAGGUGGUUGUACAACCUUAUACAUCAAGGCUGAUCACUUAUACAGAAUAUCUGUUUAAAAUGGAAAUAGGCAAGAAGCAACACUUCUGAACAAGUCUGUGCCAUCUCAUGAGAUAAAAUCCCUGAGAUCAGAAAAUCACGAGAAACACAAGUUUUCCAUCUCUCUUUGUCAUAUCAUGAGCCUCUCAUUCAGAAAAUUGUCACAAAUUGACAAUAUUAAAUAUUAUCAGAGGUAAUGAAAUCUAAUGAGAUAAUUACACAGCUCUGGUGACAUUGGGAAUCUUUUAGAUGCUGCUGAUUUUCCCUACCUAGUGGUUAUUGCAAUCCUGUUUGAUGUUGAGAAAUUGAAGCCCAUCAAACAUUUUUCAGAAAUGUUGCUGCUGCAUGUUGUGGGUGGCAAUGCUUUGCCCUGAUUUGUCUCUCAGAAUCCAGCACUUCCUUGGUAUCUGAGGUGUUUUUAAACUACUAGAGCUAUCAGUCAGCAUCCAGCCUCCAGCACUUACUGUGAAGAACUUAAAAGGAAGGCCAUGAACAAGUUGACUUUCUAUUAAGAGGCUUUCAUAAUGUUAUGCAGCUACUAAAAAACCUCCUUGGAGUAGAAAUAAGACAAAAGCCAUGAGUUGGCAGAGAAACUAGUGAAAAAAUAAAUACAUGUUUAAAUAAAAAGCAAACAGAAUAGCAAAAGACACUAUUAGUUAGAAAGAAACAAGGGAUUACUCAACAAAAAAAAUUCUUCAGCAAUCAGAACUCUGAUUUUGACAACACUACUAAAGAGGGGCCUAACCUACAGAGAUAAAAUGUCAAAUAAAACCAAGGAAGAUUAAAUAAUACUUGAAGAAGAAGUAGAUAAAUGUAUAAAAACAAAUAAGAAUUUUAAAGUUUAAAUGUUGGAAAUAGUCUACAAGAUAUCUAGUUAGUUUGCAGACCUCAGAACAGAUAGGAUUCUUAAGAAAUACAUGUUGCAAAGAACCUGCACCAUUUUCCUGCAUAAGUUCAUACUGUAUAAAUGUAUCUCCCAGAUUUUUUUUGCACAGAUUAUCUAAAUAAUCAUAGUGAUUAAGACACCAGCAGAGAAGCUGUCUAAGCAAACUGCUAAGCAGGGGCAAGCUUCUAAGACUAACUUGUCUUCAGACAAGUUUUCCAAGGAAAUUUGGAAAUCAAAUAACAUAGACACUAAAAUACAUGAAAGCUAUUAUGAAAAUAGUCUUUUUUUAUCAGACUAGAAGGCAGCAAAUGUUACACCUACCAUUACGGAGUGAUCCUGAGCAGUACAAAUCUACAAAUCUUCAGGACACAAACAAAACUAACUGAAAGUUAGUCCUCUAAGAGUCUAGAACAUGUAAAAGAUUAUGUUAUGUCAGGUCUAAUCAGGAGGGAUUCCACUGAAAAACGGUGUCUCAGUCAUCUGUUAUUUGCACAGCUGGAGCACUUGGAGGCUGCACCUCUUUCUGCCUGGGCUCUGGCAGCCAACAGGGCACAGACCCGAGCUGCUGUCGCUGUGCAUCUGCAGCCUGAGCAAGGAGUUCACAAGUGAACACAGCUGGCAGGAGGGAGAAAGCAAAAUAAAACCAGUUGAGAUGAAUGCAGGAAGUACUCAUUAAAACAUACCAAAGGAGUGUAAUUACUGAGUUUUAUUUAAUUUAGGAGCAGGUUGGAGAGAGUAUACUGGCACACAACAGAUUUUCAGGGGGGAUUCUUUUAACAGAAGAAG